GAAAGUAACGGUUUAUUAUUUUCAGUCCGAUUAAAUCCGGAUUAUUUUUUCAAGCGUAGUUUACACCAAGUUGCAAUGGCGGCUUCCAUGCGUCAUUGGAUACGGAGAGAAGUUUCGUGUCUUAUGCAUGUUAUGGCUGUAAUUCAACACAUUCUGAAUGAAUUUGAUAGAAAUACAAGACUGUUGAUGCAAGAGAAAUGGUAUAUUUCAUGGUUGUGCGAAUGGCAUCAAUAAUGAUGAGAAUAUUCGAGAGAAAAAAAAGAGAGACUGAGCUCAAUGAAAGCUAAAAAUUCUGUGAUGGCAGGGCUGAGGAAACAUUCAUGUGAAAAAAGGAAAGGGAGAGAACAAUAAGGACAACACCAGGAUAUGACUACAAUGUCACCCAAGGCUUAAUUCCCAAAAUAUAGGACUGUGGUGCUUUAUCGAUACAGCUUUUGGACCACAGUAAGGCACUCAUGACUGUGGCAGAUACUUCCUGAUUAUCACAUUGAAGACUGAUUUUUGAAGGACCUUUCUACCUACACAGAAAUGUAACAUCACUGUUUCAAUCACUCAGCACCCUACCAUCAAAGUGGAUAUGGUCUUCAAAGACAAAAACAGUGGAUAUGAUCUUCAGAGACAAAAUGAGCCCCCAAAAGAAGUCACUCUUGUUUAACUGGGAUAAUUUUUUCACAUGUAUCAUAAUGAUUGUUUUACACAUACAUAUUUUUAAGUAGAAGUAACAGUUAUUCAACAUAUUUUUUCUUUUAAUUUGAAUACAUGUAGAGGCAAAUGAUAAAAUGACCACAUCAGAGUUUCAUUGUGUUGUUAUAUUUAUGUAUGAUACUAUCAAUCAUAACAAGUUUGAUACUGGAAAUUCAGGAAA